rnacentral:lncRNA from 1 species
GAUGAGCAGAAAGACAUGUGUUCUCUGGUCUCUUCACAGGCAGCCAGCUCUCGUGUGGAACCUGUGGAAGGCUGCAGAGGCAGACAUGGUGGAGAGUACCUAUAUGUAACAUCCCUGAGGGAGUCCUGCGUGGAACUUCCCCAGCUACAACUACACUGAUAGAUUUUAAACUCAGUGGGAUUUGGAACAUGUGCCAAGGUCACCAAGCAGACAAAGUAUCAGUCAUAACUAAGACGGCUGUACUCAGGUCAAGCUGGCAUAGAAUCAGAUCGCAGAUCCUGAGGAAUUUGUGGGAGAACAACACAAAAAUUAUAUCAGCUGUUAAGAGAAUAUGUGGGCAGAGCAUCCGGUGCACCAGUUGGUUAUGUCAGCAUUCCUUACAUUUUGCCUGUUGGUGCUACUUCUGCUGAGACCAUGGAAGCUGCACUGGUGGUAUUACAAACAGAGAGCACAUUAAUAUCC